UGAUCUUGGAGGUCUCUUCCAAUCUAGACGAUUCUGUGAUUCUGUGAUUCUGUAAUAUAAAAUAAAUUAUAUUAAAUAUUAUUUUGAGGGAAAUGAAUGACACUGAAAGUUUUUUUUCUUGAUUACCUGCAGAGGAGAAGAAAGUAAAGAGCACCAAAGUGGAAGCAAAAGUUAAAAAGGAAGUGAAGGAUGGAAAAGGAGAAGCAAAGAUGCCUGAGAAGGUCAAGCAGACAGAGACUAAAACAACAGAAGUUGGGUUAAUAAAGGCCAAACCGAAAGUUAAGGAGGAGAAAGCACUUCAGACUGUAACUAAAUCAGAAAAGAAAGGACAUAAGGAAAUGGCAUCACCUCGUCUUCUUCUAGAACAUAGUCCAAGAAAGAAAACAGCAGCUAUUGAAGAAGAGAAGUCUAUUGUGGUAACUAAGGAAGUGAAAAAAAGAAAGGAUGAAAAGAAAAGGACUGAUAUAAGGAGGUCUGUUACUGAAACUAAGAAGAAAGGUAUGGUUUGGGAACAUUUCUUACUGGUCUUAUUCCAAUU
rnacentral:lncRNA from 1 species